CGGACAGCCCGGCUGGGCACCGGCCCGGUGUCCACACCGCCCACGUGGGGCGGGGCCGCGGGAGCCGGCGGCGGGCAGGCCCGGCCUGCGGGAGGCACAGCUGGGGACAGAGCGGCUCGGCGCUGCCUCGGCGGGGCCGGUUCUGGGAGCCUCGCCCCGCGCCGCCCCGGCGUCCUGGGCUGGACAGGCCAGCGGAGGUCCAGCCCUGCCCUCCAGGGGGCGGCACCGGAUCCGGGCUGCUCGGGCCCAGGGCACGGAUUGGGCGCUGCGCGGGGACGGGCCACCGCCGAGGGGACCGUGCCAGGCGAGGCCGGGGCAGGGCCGGGGCGUGGUCACCGCUGCCCGCAGUCCCUGCGGCCACCACACCGUGCCUGGCACUGGGCAGGACCCGCAGCGCCCUCUUCCCACCAUGCCCCUCACGGCCAUCGCCCUCCUGCUGCUGGGGGCCCCCCUGGCGCUGGCCAGCACCGACUGCCUGGGGUACCUGGACGAGGCCGACUCAUGGCGCCUGGGCUUCAGCUGCGAGUCCCCCACCUUCUGCUGUGGCACCUGCCGCCAGCGCUACUGCUGCGGGGACCGGAGCCUGCGCCUGUCCGAGUUCCAGCAGAAGCGCUGCCUGGUCUUCAGUCCCAAGUUCGUGGUGGGCCUGGUCACAGCCGUGACCCUCUUCAUGGCCAUGGUCGCCGCCUGCUGCUGCUGCUUCUGCAUCUGCCGCUACCUGGUCCGCCAGCGCCAGCGGCUGCUGGGCCCCUUCGCAGGUGGGGACGGAGCCGCCACCAGGAGCCCAGACAGGCCAGGACAUUCCAAUGAGGGGCGCCCUCCAACCGGCGAUGUACCCGUACCCCCCGGACUCCAAGGCUGACCCCGCCCCCCCACCCCAGGGCUUCAUGUGGCCCCCCAGUGCUCCUCCCCAGCCUCCUCUCUACCCGGCAGAGCCCCCUGUCUACAGCCCUGCAGCUCCUCCCCCUUAUCUGCCACAGCAGCGCACCUACCCCAGAACCUGAGGGACCGUGUCAUCUGCCAUCGCAGGGGGCCCCCCUGUGUCUGCCGCUGGCCCCGGGGGUGGCAGGGGUCACCCACUCAACAGGCCCCCAACCAAGCCACCCCCUGCGCCGUGCAGGGAAGUGGACAGGAGCUGGGCGGGAACUUGGCCACGAAUGAGGGCUGGUGGGGGCGGAGGGGCUUGGCAUUGCUGCACUAUUUUUAUUUCUAAUGGGGGCCAGGGGAGGGCCGCAGUGUGGGUCCCCGCCCUGGUCCCUCUGCUCCCAAGACCCUCCUGCUUGCCCUGGGGGCUGGGUGGGGCUCUGUCAGCCGCCUGCCCGCUGGAGCCCGCGGGCUGUCCCACGGCCCUGGCCGGGCUGCCGAUUAAAGCUGAGAGGUAACUCA